UACGGAGGAUGCGAGCGUUAUCCGGAUUUAUUGGGUUUAAAGGGUGCGUAGGCGGACUGUUAAGUCAGCGGUAAAAGCCCGGGGCUCAACCCCGGCGAGCCGUUGAAACUGGCUGUCUUGAGAUGUCGAGAGGUAUGCGGAAUGCGCAGUGUAGCGGUGAAAUGCUUAGAGAUCAUACAGAACACCGAUUGCGAAGGCAGCUUACCAAGCUACUUCUGACGUUGAGGCACGAAAGCGUGGGGAGCAAACAGG
rnacentral:rRNA from 1 species